CCUCAGCCUGCUCAACGUGAAGAUGAUGAGGAUGAAGACCUUUAUGAUGAUCCACUUCUACUUAUUAAAUACUGAUGUGGUCCUGCUCUGUCCCAGUCUAGCAGCUUAAGUGUACGGAAAAAUUGAACUAGGAAUUGUUUUGAAGAAAUAAAGGUGUAAGAGCAAACAUUCAACAGUUGCUGUCCCCAGUAAUGAAGUUCAUAUGACAAAAGAUGGCAUGUCACUAUACAUCAUACCUUGCAAUAAAUAUUCUGUUAAAUUGUGCUGGUGCAAUUUAACAUGCUUUUGUC
rnacentral:sRNA from 1 species